rnacentral:rRNA from 1 species
GUCUUGAGUACAGUAGAGGUGGGCGGAAUUCGUGGUGUAGCGGUGAAAUGCUUAGAUAUCACGAAGAACUCCGAUUGCGAAGGCAGCUCACUGGACUGCAACUGACACUGAUGCUCGAAAGUGUGGGUAUCAAACAGGAUUAGAUACCCUGGUAGUCCACACAGUAAACGAUGAAUACUCGCUGUUUGCGAUAUACAGUAAGCGGCCAAGCGAAAGCAUUAAGUAUUCCACCUGGGGAGUACGCCGGCAACGGUGAAACUCAAAGGAAUUGACGGGGGCCCGCACAAGCGGAGGAACAUGUGGUUUAAUUCGAUGAUACGCGAGGAACCUUACCCGGGCUUAAAUUGCAGUGGAAUGAUGUGGAAACAUGUCAGUGAGCAAUCACCGCUGUGAAGGUGCUGCAUGGUUGUCGUCAGCUCGUGCCGUGAGGUGUCGGCUUAAGUGCCAUAACGAGCGCAACCCUUAUCUUCAGUUACUAACAGGUUAUGCUGAGGACUCUGGAGAGACUGCCGUCGUAAGAUGUGAGGAAGGUGGGGAUGACGUCAAAUCAGCACGGCCCUUACGUCCGGGGCUACACACGUGUUACAAUGGGGGGUACAGAAGGCAGCUAGCGGGUGACCGUAUGCUAAUCCCAAAAGCCUCUCUCAGUUCGGAUCGAAGUCUGCAACCCGACUUCGUGAAGCUGGAUUCGCUAGUAAUCGCGCAUCAGCCACGGCGCGGUGAAUACGUUCCCGGGCCUUGUACACACCGCCCGUCAAGCCAUGGGAGCCGGGGGUACCUGAAGUACGUAACCGCAAGGAUCGUCCUAGGGUAAAACUGGUGACUGGGGCUAAGUCGUAACAAGGUAGCCGUACCGGAAGGUGCGGCUG